rnacentral:tRNA from 1 species
GUGGUGGCUCAGUGGUAGAAUGCUCGCCUAGCAUGUGUGAGGCACUGGGUUCUAUCCUCAGCACCACA